CAAUUCUCGUGAAUGUAAGAAUUCAUAACUUGACAGUUGUCACCUUCAUGCUAAGAGUGGUCCAUACGAUUCGUAACUUUUAAGGUGACAGCUGUCAAGUUACGAAUUUUUAAAUUCAUGAGAAUCGGCGCCCAGAAUGUCAGGAAAAUU